UACAGAGGUGGCAAGCGUUGUUCGGAAUUACUGGGCGUAAAGGGCGCGUAGGCGGCCUACUAAGUCAGACGUGAAAUCCCCCGGCUUAACCUGGGAACUGCGUCUGAUACUGGAAGGCUUGAGGAUGGGAGAGGGAUGUAGAAUUCCAGGUGUAGCGGUGAAAUGCGUAGAUAUCUGGAGGAACACCGGGUGGCGAAGGCGGCGUUCUGGACUGUCUCUGACACUGAAGAACGAAAGCCAGGGGAGCAAACGGGG
rnacentral:rRNA from 1 species